rnacentral:lncRNA from 1 species
AGUCUGAAAAGACAGAAGGAGAAAAAGUGGAUGUGUCAGAGGUUUUAGAAUUAAAAAUGGAACAAGUAACUAAUGAAGAAGAAAAGCCUGAAUGGUCAAUGGGAAAGGGAUAUCUUUUGCAAGCACACGCCUUGCUGCAGAAGAUACAGGAAUCUUUACAGAAACGAGAGAGAGAAGUCACUGAACUCCUACAAAGUGAAAGAAGAUGCAACAAGACAAUGAAACCUCAAAUCACAGUGCUAAUGUUCUUGAAAACUCUUGUCAAGAAGGUUUACACUAUAUAUUAUGAUGUUCCUGGGGCACAACAGUACAUCAGUCAGCUUAUCAGGAAGAAUGAGGAUGAAAGGGCUGAUCGGAAAGAAGCUUUUAAUAACGCUCAGGCUGACUUUCUGUGCUAUGAAGCAUUUUAUGGAAAUGAACUUAUGGAUGACAAAAGGACACAGCUCUCAACGAAGCUUUUCAGAAAUCUUGGAAAAGCAAAGUCUGAUUUAGAAUAUGUUGAAACAGAGA